rnacentral:lncRNA from 1 species
UCGGAACAAAAUUUAUUACAUUUUACACACACACACACACACACACACACGCCCAAGUUUUAAAUUUUAAUGCACAAACUAGCAAACCAUGUUAGAAUAAAUUGCAAACAUACCCCUACAAUUACUUGGCUCAUGUAUCCUCUUAAGUAAACCAAAAAUGUAAUGUAAAGCAAAUGCAAUCACUCGAGUAAGAUGCUGUUAAAAUUUACAAAUCAUGAAACAAAAAAAUUAUGGCUUUUGCCACAAGUACUCGCACUAUGUAGUACAAGGAUGAUAUAAAAAAAAUCAUGAUAUCAACAAGAAUAAGUCCUACUGCAUCACCAAUUGAUCAUCUGCAGAUUGCUAAUUCUUGUUCACUCUUGAGAAAUCUUCUAGCU